rnacentral:rRNA from 1 species
UGAGGAAUAUUGGUCAAUGGGCGCAAGCCUGAACCAGCCAAGUAGCGUGAAGGACGACGGCCCUACGGGUUGUAAACUUCUUUUGGCGCGGAAUAAAUCGGGGCACGCGCUGCCCCUUGGAAUGUACGCGUCGAAUAAGCAUCGGCUAAUUCCGUGCCAGCAGCCGCGGUAAUACGGAAGAUGCGAGCGUUAUCCGGAUUUAUUGGGUUUAAAGGGAGCGUAGGCGGACAGUUAAGUCGGCGGUCAAAGCCCGGGGCCCAACCCCGGCCAGCCGUCGAAACUGGCGGUCUUGAAUGCGCACAAGGGAGACGGAAUUCGUCGUGUAGCGGUGAAAUGCUUAGAUAUGACGAAGAACUCCGAUUGCGAAGGCAGUCUCCUGGGGCGCGAUUGACGCUGAGGCUCGAAAGUGCGGGUAUCAAACAGG